ensembl:miRNA xtr-mir-29b xtr-mir-29b
UCCCGGAAGCUGGUUUCUUGUGGUGACUUAGAUUUAUCCAUCGCUGCAUCUAGCACCAUUUGAAAUCAGUGUUCUAGGAG